rnacentral:rRNA from 1 species
GACUUCGGUCCUUGCUGCACCCUUGUCUUUUGCGUACCGUAUGUUUCCUCGGCGGGCUUGCCUGCCGGUUGGACAUUAUCAAACCUUUUUGUAGUUGCAAUCAGCGUCAGAAAACAAACAAUAAUUACAACUUUCAACAACGGAUCUCUUGGUUCUGGCAUCGAUGAAGAACGCAGCGAAAUGCGAAAAGUAGUGUGAAUUGCAGAAUUCAGUGAAUCAUCGAAUCUUUGAACGCACAUUGCGCCCCUUGGUAUUCCAUGGGGCAUGCCUGUUCGAGCGUCAUUUUGUACCCUCAAGCACUGCUUGGUGUUGGGCGUUUGUCCUGCAAAGGACUCGCCUGAAAGCGAUUGGCGGCCAACGUACUGGUGGUAGAGCGCAGCACAAUUUGCGUCUCUCCCUUCUACGUCGGCGUCCAUGAAGCCUUUUUUCAACGUUUGACCUCGGAUCAGGUAGGGAUACCC